UACGUAGGGUGCGAGCGUUGUCCGGAAUUACUGGGCGUAAAGGGCUCGUAGGCGGCCAACUAAGUCAUACGUGAAAUCCCUCGGCUUAACCGGGGAACUGCGUCUGAUACUGGAUGGCUUGAGUUCGGGAGAGGGAUGCGGAAUUCCAGGUGUAGCGGUGAAAUGCGUAGAUAUCUGGAGGAACACCGGUGGCGAAGGCGGCAGCCUGGACCGACACUGACACUGAGGAGCGAAAGCCAGGGGAGCAAACGGG
rnacentral:rRNA from 1 species